rnacentral:rRNA from 1 species
GACGAACGCUGGCGGCGUGCUUAACACAUGCAAGUCGAACGAUGAAGCUGGAGCUUGCUCCGGUGGAUUAGUGGCGAACGGGUGAGUAACACGUGAGCAAUCUGCCCUUGACUCUGGGAUAACUGCGGGAAACUGUAGCUAAUACCGGAUACUUUCACUGGAAGGCAUCUUCUGGUGAAGAAAGAAUUUCGGUCAAGGAUGAGCUCGCGGCCUAUCAGCUUGUUGGUGAGGUAACGGCUCACCAAGGCGACGACGGGUAGCCGGCCUGAGAGGGUGACCGGCCACACUGUGACUGAGACACAGCCCAGACUCCUACGGGAGGCAGCAGUGGGGAAUAUUGCACAAUGGGCGCAGGCCUGCUGCAUCAACGCCGCGUGAGGGAUGAAGGCCUUCGGGUUGUAAACCUCUUUUCGCAGGGAAGAAUCGAAAGUGACGGUACCCGCAGAAAAAGCACCGGCUAACUACGUGCCAGCCGCCGCCGUAA